rnacentral:lncRNA from 1 species
CUCUGCGUGCGCCGGAGGCUGCCGUGGCGGGUGGGCCGCCUGACUUCUCCUCCCGGCCAGUUCUCGAGCGCCUCACCGGGCCUCGCCCUGCAGCCUCGCUCUCGCUGGCGCUGCGCGGCCUAGGGGACUGGGCUGCUGGCCUCCGGGUGCGGGGUGGGGGCAGGCUCCGACCUGGGGCGUCCUGGCCGCGCGAGCCGCGGGAUGGGGGCCCGGGCCGCGGAGGAGGCGCCGCUGGUGUGUCCCUUGGUGGAGAGGGCGCUGCCGGCCCUGCGCGGUUUCCAGCCAGGAAGCUUCGGGAAGCCUGGACGUCUGCUCACUGGAGAUGACACGUGCGUGGGGUGUUGGGUAAGUUGGUGCAUUGGAGCUGGAACAGGGUCAAUCCUCCAAUGUAACUAAGCCCUCCUGUGCAACAUCUUAAGUGACUGGAGGGACCAGUCGGUCUUGUGUUCACAUUGAGGCUAGAAGCUGUCUCCAGGGGAGUAAAAACGGAUUAUUUAGUCUUCAACAGGACACUGCCCCUAGAGGCGUUGCAGCUGUGGCUGCCGUGUCACAUCUGUGUCAUUAGGUGGCAGAGAUUAGAGAGGCUAUGUCUACGCUCAGCGUUCUGCCCCGUGAACGUUUGAAUGUUUGAUAGUCUCACACUCCUGUUUUGUGGACAGGCAUCUGUUUUCCUUCGCUGGUAUCUGGGAGAGAGGGUGGGCCCUGUGAGUGGGCUUUCUAACUCUCGCGCUGGGCUAGGCUGGCCUCUAGGGGUCUGAAGGGAUAGUGGGAAGGUGGAGGGUGCCUUCACCAGGAGCAGCCUUCAUGAGUGAGUUUUAAGAACCUGUGAGGAUCGGUCAGGUCAGGUGAGGUACGCGCUGGAUCAUGCCGUACACCGUGUCAGGAUCACGCAGGACAGGACUGGGGAAGGGUUUGCUGGCGUCUCGGUUAAUAGCAGUAACGGCAGCCGCUUGUGUUCUUGAUUCUUUGCCAAGCAUUCUUGUUAUUUAACACGGGAAGGAGGUGACUUCGCCUGUGAUGGACUUCCAGUGUGAGCACUGGCCAGAGUGACCAGGCUGACCAGCACCAGCCCUGAUCCAGGUAAGAGGUGAGGCGGAGGCUUGCCCUCCUUCCCUGCCUGCCGGGUGCGUGUGAGCGGCUGCCCUGCGGAUGCUGUCCUGGACCUGUUGGCACCACAGACAGUUGCUCUGCUGUGCCUGUGGCCUCGGGGCAAAGAGAAAGUGGCGAUUUCUACACUCAGUGCUCGGGAACCAGUGGGCACUGAGAAUGGUUUAUGGCCUGACAUUACUUGCAACCAAAGCCAGGCAGCAUUUGGAUUUUCGCUUUUGGAAACCACCUUACCUGGUUUGCUCCAUGAGGGAGGGGCAGCAACAUCGCUGGGAACCCUGAGGUGUAGAUAUGUAUAAAUGAGCUGUGUGUGUAUCUGAAGCUCGGGCACUUGUGGGGUUACCAGGAGUGUGCGUCUCACUCCCAGGCCUCGUUCUGGAAACGAUUCUGUAGGUCUGUCUGGGAGGCCUUAGGCAAGUUUGAUUAAGAACAGUCGAGCUGGAUAAACAGGCUGUUCCUUGUCCAGCACUAGUCAUCCCAGGGGGGCGGGGGCGGGGCUGCAACUCCUGUGCACAAAGGAAGGGCCCUGGGUAGGGGUCAGGAGCUGCCUUGCCCAGAGAUGUGUCUGGGUCACUUUGGAAACAGGAAUCCUCUCCCCAAAAUGGGUAGCAAUGGGGGUACAGAGGCCAAAGACGCAGCUGCAUGUCCUGCAGUGCCUGGGACGCCCCGUAGUGAAGAGUGAUGUGGCCCAAAUGUCAGCAGUGCCAGUGUCAGACUCCUGCUAAGAGACAGUAUCAAGAAAGAUAACUUCAAAAUACACUUUCUGGAGGCCUGGCGCGGUGGCUCAGGCCUGUAAUCCCAGCACUCUGGGAGGCCAAUGCAUGUGGAUCACCUGAGGUCAGGAGUUCGAGACCAGCCUGGCCAACUGCCUGAAACCCCAUCUCUACUAAAAAUACAAAAAUUAGCCAGGUGUGGUGGCGCAAGCCUGUAAUCCCAGCUAUUUGGGAGGCUGAGGCAGGAGAAUCGCUUGAACCCGGGAGGCAGAGGUUGCAGUGAGCCGAGAUCGCACCACUGCACUCCAGCCUGGACAACAGAGUGGGACUCUGUCUCAA